GACGUAGGGUGCGAGCGUUGUCCGGAAUUAUUGGGCGUAAAGAGCUUGUAGGCGGUCUGUCGCGUCUGCUGUGAAAAUCCGGGGCUCAACCCCGGACUUGCAGUGGGUACGGGCAGACUAGAGUGUGGUAGGGGAGACUGGAAUUCCUGGUGUAGCGGUGAAAUGCGCAGAUAUCAGGAGGAACACCGAUGGCGAAGGCAGGUCUCUGGGCCAC
rnacentral:rRNA from 1 species